rnacentral:lncRNA from 1 species
UCAUUUUUUUCUUACACUCUUCUCCCUAUUGUCCCAAUAGCUCUCUUCUUUCCCUUGUUAAGACAAGUUCAAAAUAGUAAGGAUAAGUCUGAUUUUAGGAUAAGGAAUAGGAAGAGAAUUAGGCAAGAUAGGAGAAAAGAAAGGGAGAGAAGAAAAAGGCUAGAAGGAAAGGAAGGAAGGCCAGGGGCCGUGCUGCCAGAAGAAAUUUUUUGAGAAAGAAUUCAAUGGGAGGA